rnacentral:rRNA from 1 species
GACGAACGCUGGCGGCGUGCUUAACACAUGCAAGUCGAACGGAAAGGCCCUGCUUUUGUGGGGUGCUCGAGUGGCGAACGGGUGAGUAACACGUGAGUAACCUGCCCUUGACUUUGGGAUAACUUCAGGAAACUGGGGCUAAUACCGGAUAGGAGCUCCUGCUGCAUGGUGGGGGUUGGAAAGUUUCGGCGGUUGGGGAUGGACUCGCGGCUUAUCAGCUUGUUGGUGGGGUAGUGGCUUACCAAGGCUUUGACGGGUAGCCGGCCUGAGAGGGUGACCGGCCACAUUGGGACUGAGAUGCGGCCCAGACUCCUACGGGAGGCAGCAGUGGGGAAUAUUGCACAAUGGGCGGAAGCCUGAUGCAGCAACGCCGCGUGCGGGAUGACGGCCUUCGGGUUGUAAACCGCUUUCGCCUGUGACGAAGCGUGAGUGACGGUAAUGGGUAAAGAAGCACCGGCUAACUACGUGCCAGCAGCCGCGGUGAUACGUAGGGUGCGAGCGUUGUCCGGAUUUAUUGGGCGUAAAGGGCUCGUAGGUGGUUGAUCGCGUCGGAAGUGUAAUCUUGGGGCUUAACCCUGAGCGUGCUUUCGAUACGGGUUGACUUGAGGAAGGUAGGGGAGAAUGGAAUUCCUGGUGGAGCGGUGGAAUGCGCAGAUAUCAGGAGGAACGCCAGUGGCGAAGGCGGUUCUCUGGGCCUUUCCUGACGCUGAGGAGCGAAAGCGUGGGGAGCGAACAGGCUUAGAUACCCUGGUAGUCCACGCUGUAAACGGUGGGUACUAGGUGUGGGGUCCAUUCCACGGGUUCCGUGCCGUAGCUAACGCUUUAAGUACCCCGCCUGGGGAGUACGGCCGCAAGGCUAAAACUCAAAGGAAUUGACGGGGCCCCGCACAAGCGGCGGAGCAUGCGGAUUAAUUCGAUGCAACGCGUAGAACCUUACCUGGGUUUGACAUGGAUCGGGAGUGCUCAGAGAUGGGUGUGCCUCUUUUGGGGUCGGUUCACAGGUGGUGCAUGGCUGUCGUCAGCUCGUGUCGUGAGAUGUUGGGUUAAGUCCCGCAACGAGCGCAACCCUUGUUCACUGUUGCCAGCACGUUAUGGUGGGGACUCAGUGGAGACCGCCGGGGUCAACUCGGAGGAAGGUGGGGAUGACGUCAAGUCAUCAUGCCCCUUAUGUCCAGGGCUUCACGCAUGCUACAAUGGCUGGUACAGAGAGUGGCGAGCCUGUGAGGGUGAGCGAAUCUCGGAAAGCCGGUCUCAGUUCGGAUUAGGGUCUGCAACUCGACCUCAUGAAGUCGGAGUCGCUAGUAAUCGCAGAUCAGCAACGCUGCGGUGAAUACGUUCCCGGG